rnacentral:rRNA from 1 species
GGAAUUUUGGACAAUGGGCGCAAGCCUGAUCCAGCAAUGCCGCGUGCAGGAAGAAGGCCUUCGGGUUGUAAACUGCUUUUGUACGGAACGAAACGGUCUGGGAUAAUACCCUGGGCUAAUGACGGUACCGUAAGAAUAAGCACCGGCUAACUACGUGCCAGCAGCCGCGGUAAUACA